rnacentral:lncRNA from 1 species
AUAUCUUUUAAGUCUCAUUUGCCUAAAACUCCUGUUUCUAUGGACCAAAAAAAUAUGUUAAUCAGACCAAUAGUAUUCCUCAGGUCAGAAUUUGGAUCAGUAAACUGACCCCUAGCGAGAAAUUAAGUCUUAAGUGAUACAGAAAAAAAUUCUAGGUUGAGUCACUUCUGUUUAGUGUUGGGGUUGGAAAGGACCAGUCUCUGAGCUGACUGCUGGGAAGUCCUUAAGAGAGGGAUCUGCUUCUCUUUGGAUUUGACUUUGUGUCAUCCAUAACUUUGGAUUAUGAGGAAAGGUAAAUUGAGGCUUUAUCUUUGGCUUCUGGUCUUUAUUUUCCAGCAGGCUAAAACUCUUUUAAAACACCACUUUAAUAAUAUUCUCCUCCUUGGGUUUAAAACUUGCUUACUGAAGGUAUAGGAACCUUGGCAAAGAGCUCUGCUCUCCUCUAGCCUGGCUGUCCGUGGAGUUCCUGGAGAGCAGACACGGGACAGUGUUUUAAGGCACUGGAAGGCGCUGAAUGAGGCUGGACUAUGCGUAUGGCUGCUGAAGUCUUAACUGCGUUCUCUUCUCAGCUGAUUGGGCAGGCCAGGAUGAAGGAGUCUUUUAAAUCAUGAUUCCAGCCCUCCUGGGGUCUUUACACCACAGACACAGCUGAAGGGUUUGAGUACUGUUUGCUAGAACAGCUCAACACCACAAAACAUGAGCUGUGUGAGAUGAGCCCUUGGCCUGGCUAACACUGCCUUUCACUGUGACACGAGUGACACGACACUGGAAGAGCCAACCACGCACGACUCUGGGAAGUGGUGGGGCACCUGGGGAGGCUCUUAGACAUAAAUGCUUGGGCUUCAGGACUGAAUUCCUUCAGAGGAUCAAGUAGUUCGAUGAAGCUGUUGUCAGAGAUGCCAGGCCCACUUACCUCUGCAUUAUAAGUCCAGAUGACCAGAUUUUGGGUCAAAGCUUUUGUGGGUGUCAGGGAUUCAGAUCCCUCCACAAAGACUACCUUGCCUUCCCUCCCUGAACAGUGAGUACUGUAGUUUACAAUGUCUCCAGUUUAGCACGGCCCACCGAUUUUGCUGCUCCUGGACUCCACUGUGAAACAGGUCUGAUCUUGCAGCUCAGUAAGACCUAACAGUAACUUUAAAGCCAGUUCUCCCUUAUGACUGCUUUUCUGAGGCCUUACCUCCCUACCUCCUACACAGGAACAGAAAAUACACUGAUGGCUGUGAUUAGCAACCCAAGUAACAACCAGAACCCAUGUCAUUUAUUUUGGAGAAUUUACCUUUAAAUCUCUACCUUUGGUGUUUUCAUUUGGGAGGAAAAAAACCAAAAUAUGUCAAAUAACCUUUUUAUUGUUAAACCAAAUGGAAGUUGGAACUCAUUCCAGUUAAUAUCUCAGGUAGAAAAACUGAUUUUUUUUUUUAAAUACCUGAGCCCCUUUUUCUGUUCUUCACGGAUCCUUGGUCUUAAUUAAUGUGGAAACACCUAAUCCUUCCAAUUAUUCUGUGGACUUUGCCGAUUGCGCCAAGAUUUUAGUUGAGACUUAGUUUUCAAAGAUGCUGACUGGUUGGAAUAGCCGGUUCUAAACUAACAAGCUGUAAAGGAAUUAAUAGUCUAUGUUGUACACAUUUGAGAUCUCUUGGAUAUAAAUGUAUAGCUCCAAGUGGCUUACAUUGAUUCUCUCACCUGGGUGGUAAGCAUACCCAAAUGUGUAUUUUUUGUUACAGAGCUCUGCUUUAUAAUUUUGUAAUAAAGUUUAAAUACAGAUGCCUGUUCCAUCUGGUGUGGGGGGAUGAUACCAGAGGUUCCCAAAACACUUGUAAACGUGGGCAGACAUCAGGCCACAUGCUCUGUGUUG